GGAGGUGGCUCGGGCCGCGCCGAGGGGACCACGGGACGCCCUCCUUCCCUUCUCAGGAAACUGGUAUAACAGAAGUCCGGGCCACAUGCCGUAAAACAGCUGGCAGACAGAUCUCAGAGUCUCUGUGCUACAGGAACAUGGAGGAAGAACCCAGGUGGGCUUGGGAGGAGAUGUUUAAGGCAUCGUGAUGCUUGGUGUAGCCCUGAAGGUCAAGAUACAGUUAUCCAGAUAACGCUAAGCACAUCUCAAUUCAAAUGAACUGACAUCCUUUGGGUGUUUGUCCCUUCCAAAUCUCCUGUUGAAAUAGCAUCCCCCGUGUUGGAGAUGAGGCCUGGUGGGAGGUGUUUCCGUCACAGGAACAGAUUCCUCAUGAAUGACUUGGUGCCAUCCUCAUGGGCCCCUAAAGUGAUGGAGUGGCUGUGGAGUCUUCAGUUUGCCUGCAUGCCAGGUGCAAGCCAAGGAGUUGUAAGAGCAUCCCCCUCAUAAGCUACCAGUAGGCCAGGACUCCAGUGUGGAGGGAUGGAUCUCUGAAGGUCACAGCUUGGCCCUUCUCUGAAGAACGUCCACCAGCAUGUCAGCCCAGCUGCACUGCAGGAGUGAAGGGUGAGAUGACUGUCAAUAAGGAUAAAGGCCAUCUUCCCCACCCGUCACUCAUCCUGCCAAGCCAUCACUGGGUAACCAGGACUCAUGGGCAGUGUCACCUCUGGGGCCAUGCUGGCAUCUGUAACCUCCAUCCAUCCUUGUGGUCCCAUCCAGCCAUCUCUGCCCCCUUGCCUGGCCCAUUCUGUUGUGAAGUUUUCGUCCACCUUGCUCUUGUGCAGAGUCGGAAUUCACAGGGGUUCCAAUGCCCAAGGGAAGCCCAUUGGAACUGUUUACUCUUAUUACUGGCUAGAGACGUCCACAGGACAAAUCAGCUUCAGAUUAUACCAUCGUUAGAGUAGGUGCAACUGGGGGGCUUGCCCUACUUAACUCUCCAAUGCAAUCCAUGCUGCCAGCUUCAUACAGACUCCAUCCAGUGCAAAUGGCUUCCUUCUGUGUGCAGAGCAAAUGCUCCAGGGAAGAGAUACAGAGGAUUCCCCAUCAUCAUUGUUGCCAAGUGACCCCAAAUAUUCCUAUCCUGUCUGUUGUAAAAAGGAAAAAUCAUGUCUUGGAAGAACAGCAUCGCCCUACAGAUACAGACUAGGCACUUUGCACAUGAAACAAGAGUCCCAGAAAUUUCUAGAAGCAAAUCUCGCAUUCGUGACCGCCAGACCUACGGGAUGUGUAAGGCACAUUCUCAAUCUCAUCACUUGUGAGAGUUGCAUUGCCUAGUCCAGCAGCCGUGAAGGACUCUCUGCUGUUUUUCCUCUGCUUCAUUUGACACAUGAGAGAGAAGAGAUGAAGAUGGAGGCGGGCCCUGCCCCGGGGACAUGUAUAUCUCUCUGAAUGUCCUUGACAGACAGCAGCAGCCCAGCAAUGCCCAGCCCCCAUCCUGUCUGUAUGCACCCUGGUGAGCAUUUUCUACAGUCUCCUAAACGCUCCCAUUAUUCUGUUUUGCAGGUGUGAUGUGUGGCACCUCAGUGUUGUCAUAGCUUCUGCCUCCUCCGUGUGGAGAGAGGGCAUAAAGACAGAGCUGAGAUAUUAUGGCUAUUCCAGAAAAUAAAAUAUUUUUUGAAACCA
ensembl:lncRNA LINC03112 long intergenic non-protein coding RNA 3112